rnacentral:lncRNA from 1 species
GACUCUUUGGUUCUUUCCUGUAUUCUCUGUUUUGCAUUUUAUUUCGAUUUUUAGCAUUUAUAGGCCUCUUAGUUUCCUUGGCUUAGAUAUUUUUUAAUAUUUUAACACCUUUUUAUUUUAUUUAUGUGGUGCUGAGGAUUGAAUCCCGGAUGUCCUACGUGCGAGAGAAGUGCUCUACCACUGAGCCCUAGCCCCUUGAAUUACAUUUUGAGUGAACUGGGUUUAAUCACUUGCAUUAACUUGCCAAAUUCAGACUUUCUCUUAGUAGUUAGCUUCUCUUCCAUGCCCGGUUAUGGAG